GUCGAGCGGCAGCGGGAAAGUAGCUUGCUACUUUUGCCGGCGAGCGGCGGACGGGUGAGUAAUGCCUGGGGAUCUGCCCAGUCGAGGGGGAUAACUACUGGAAACGGUAGCUAAUACCGCAUACGCCCUACGGGGGAAAGCAGGGGACCUUCGGGCCUUGCGCGAUUGGAUGAACCCAGGUGGGAUUAGCUAGUUGGUGAGGUAAUGGCUCACCAAGGCGACGAUCCCUAGCUGGUCUGAGAGGAUGAUCAGCCACACUGGAACUGAGACACGGUCCAGACUCCUACGGGAGGCAGCAGUGGGGAAUAUUGCACAAUGGGGGAAACCCUGAUGCAGCCAUGCCGCGUGUGUGAAGAAGGCCUUCGGGUUGUAAAGCACUUUCAGCGAGGAGGAAAGGUUGGUAGCUAAUAACUGCCAGCUGUGACGUUACUCGCAGAAGAAGCACCGGCUAACUCCGUGCCAGCAGCCGCGGUANUACGGAGGGUGCAAGCGUUAAUCGGAA
rnacentral:rRNA from 1 species